AUCACAGUCCACAAAUUACAAUUUAUUACAAUUUCAUAAUAUUAUAAUGUUGUGUUGAGCGAAACAGCUAAACGAAAUUGCUCGUUAUUGACUCUGUUAAUCCGUCCAGAAAUAUAAUCUCUUUUCUAUGAUUCUGUCAUUCUAUGGUACAACUACCCUGCUUCAUAGAUCUCCCUAGCUCAUAAUUAAUACUUAUUAUAAAUGUUUAACCAAAAACGGUACAACUGGCCUUAACAAUAAUUGCCAUGGCUAGUCCGUGAUUUUGUUCACAGAAAAUAGUAAAAUAAAUUUCAAUUUAUCAAACAUCAAUCCCAAAUCCCAAUGUAAGAUCAGAGUAGCAGCCCGGAAAUGGCAAAAUUACUAAAACUGAAAAUAUGUAAAUUGAUAGUACCACCAUCUACUUCUAAUUUUUUUGAUGCACUUCAGGUUCUUCAGGAAGAUUCGUUCAUUGAUAAAACAAAUUUGAUUGAAGAGGUAAUUGACGAUACUGAUUUGCAAAGGUAUUGAAGUUCACAUGGUUGUAAUAGAAAUCGAAGGGAAAUGACCUGGUUCGUGUUACAAAGAAUUACGAGCUCAUUCCAAAACUUCCUAAACAGAUAUUAAACAUAACCAAAGAGAAGAUCAUAGUGGACAAAACUGGCAAUUACCCGUUCAUUUAUGUCAAUUUUCAAAGCGGUAGUCUCAGGUCUUUCAAAGUUUCUACGGAAUUCAUGAAGAUUUACAAGUGCUGCUUCGAGAUUAAAAACAAUGAAAUUAAAAACAUAGAAUCACUAUUCAAUGGAUUUCAAUCUGACUUGGAGAAAAUAUAUCAUGUAUAGUCAGUGAUUUCAUAGGUACCUUAAGUUUAAUUUUUAGUUGGACGGAUGUAGUGUUUAAUUGAACAGAGACAUUUCAACAGUAAAAUUCACAAUAUUAGGAAUGAUGUGUGUCAAUAAUAUAAUAGAGUUGAAAAUGUUAUAUAUAUUAUUAUACUACUUUUGAGAAAAAUUCAAAACUUACAUAAAACAUUGCAUACUUAUUUUAGGAGCAAUUUAUUUUUAAAUAACCAGUAACACAAACUAAAUUCUAAAUAGUCCGUUUGGUAUUAGUUAUUGGCUGUUAUAUCUCGGGCUUUAUCUAAAUUACAAAUUUAUUUAAAAAAUAUAAUGAAUUUAUAAUAACAAUAAAAUCAAAAUCUGUUACUGUAAUAAUAAGUAUUUGUAUUUUAAACAAGCUGUAGAUGAUUUUAACAGUCCUACUAUAUUCUGUUUCAUGAGAGAAUAUGUCGUGGCCCGGUACUUUUUUUUCAAUAACUUAAUAAACUUAUUAAAUGUUAUUUUUUUUUAAUCUUAACAAUGAUAAAAUUAAUUAAGUUAUUAAUU